rnacentral:rRNA from 1 species
UAGGGAAUCUUCCACAAUGGACGCAAGUCUGAUGGAGCAACGCCGCGUGAGUGAAGAAGGUUUUCGGACCGUAAAGCUCUGUUGUUGGUGAAGAAGGAUAGAGGUAGUAACUGGCCCUUUAUUUGACGGUAAUCAACCAGAAAGUCACGGCUAACUACGUGCCAGCAGCCGCGGUAAUACGUAGGUGGCAAGCGUUGUCCGGAUUUAUUGGGCGUAAAGCGAGCGCAGGCGGAAGAAUAAGUCUGAUGUGAAAGCCCUCGGCUUAACCGAGGAAUUGCAUCGGAAACUGUUUUCUUGAGUGCAGAAGAGGAGAGUAGAACUCCAUGUGUAGCGGUGGAAUGCGUAGAUAUAUGGAAGAAUACCAGUGGCGAAGGCGGCUCUCUGGUCUGCAACUGACGCUGAGGCUCGAAAGCAUGGGUAGCGAACAGGAUUAGAUACCCUUGGUAGC